UGUUGGGCUGAGGUAAAGGAAGCAUAUGUUUUGAUGCGGCUCUGAUAGUCCUUACUCUACAGACAGACGCGAGAGUUAUUCAUGCUCGAUGUUUGUUGGGGAGGGGACCGACCACACCACCAUCCCCUCCCCCGCAGUUUUCUUUGUUUGGCAACUGCCUCGUGUUUUAAAAGGCCAACAACAACAACUGGUGUGAGAAAACAUGGUGGAAAACUGGUGUGCCCGUUCCAAGGUCUGUUCUUCACAUUGAACACUUUUCCUGAGGUGUCCAGUUUUGUUUCUGUUCCCUUUCGCUGAACAUGGCUUGUACUGAUAUUAGGGUAAAAGAACUAGACAAGCGUUCUUCAGGCCAGGCUUUUGAGAUCAUUCUGAGCCCCACAGCUGAAACAAUUCCAGAAUUUCCUCUUUCUCCCAAGAAAGAUCGGUCACUUGAAGAUCUUCAAAAAAAAAUGGAAGCUGCAGAGAACAGACGAAAGUCACAUGAAGCAGAAGUUCUGAAGCAGUUGGCUGAAAAACAGGAGCAUGUAAAGGAAGUGCUUCAGAGAGCUAUUGAAGAAAAUACCAAAUUCAGCAAAAUGGCAGAGGAAAGACUGAUCUCCAAGAUGGAACUUAUUAAGGAGAACCGUGAAGCUCAGUUAGCUGCCAAGCUUGAGCGUCUUCGUGAAAAGGGCUGUGACUGAUGCAGGGGCAUAGUUCUAUGGGUGCUGGCAGCCCUUCAGUACCAUGUCCAACUAGCCAGUUUUCAUGUGAGUCUAAACAAUGAGUGCUGCCAACUUUUUGAACCGUGGUGGGUUAUUGAAGCUGAGUCUGUUUCUGUUCAUGAUUGCCAUUUUCAGCAUAUGAGACCAUGGCUCUGAGUGGCAACAGAAGCAUGGAUCACAACUUGGACCGUGUGGUCAAAGCCAUAAAAGACCAACAGUAUGUGGCGCAUUUACCCACUGAGCCAUUGAGGGGGCCUGUUGGAAAAUUCCAACCUAUUAAUGUCUUUCAACGACAAGGACAAGCACCUGGAGGAAGUGAGAAAGAACAGAGAAAGCAAAGAAACCGAAGAACUUGUUUAACCUUGUGCAUUUUUGAAAUGAGGGUUUUCAAAAAUACAGUUUUUAAAAGAAAAAUUAAAGUCAAUGUAUUGAACAAAACCCUCUUACAGUGCAUUAAAAACAUGUAACCAGGAAUAAGAACACACACUGAAUUGGGGUGAUUGCGGGAGUGGGGGUGGGGAGAAAAGAAAAACUACAAUAUAGUUCUACCUUUGCUAGUCAUUUCAAAUAUUACAGCUGUUUGUAUCAUUUUUUUGCAUUGCUGGUACUAUAUGGAGUCUAAAAUUUUUUUUAAAUAUGUAGUUUUCACCUUGUUUCUUCAGUGACAGCUGUUUAUGCUAUAUGUUACAUUUUUAGUCCUAACGUGUAGUUGUCCAAGCAUGCCUCAACUGUAUCUUUAAAUAAAACUGCAUUAAUUG